UCUUCCGGCGAAGUCAUUUUUGUGUUGCCGUCAUUGCAAAAAUGGAUCGUUUCUUCGCCACUUCCGUGGUUGGUUUUCCCAAAUUGCAAUUCGAAGAUGUGCAGAAGAUUGUGGAGUCACACUCGGCAACACCACAGUCCAGGCUGAGAAAGGGGUACAAGUUUUUUGUGGAGGAGUUCGUACACAAUUAUCAAGAUCACCCUGGAGGCUGUUGGACAACUGGGUCUCUCAGAACACAGCUGUAGCUGUGCUGCGGGCAAAGGCUUCUGUAGCCAUAUAACCGCUCUGCUCUUCCAGACAGCGCAUUAUGUGCAGCUGGGCCUUGAUGUGGUUCCACCUUCCCUGGUCUGUACCAGUCAACCACAGGUGUGGCAGCGACCUCGAACACACGUGUGCUGUCGUGUCCUCUGUUCAAAUCAUACACUUCAGUAUUUGUCUAGAGUAUAUGAGCAUUUCCUGUAUGACUAAAUAUUUGUUGUUCGUUUCAGGGAAUCCAUCCAGAGGCUGUGAGUGACCUGGUGGUGAAGAAACCCAAGUCGGUGGGGAAGAGUCAAGUCCACACUCUACAGAGCGUAUGCUGAGGGAAUAUCCAGCUUGGAAUUGGUACCCUCUCAGCUGUGCUGACCUGGAAGAUGUCAGCAAUGACCUGUUCUUUAAGGCCAGUUGCUACUCUACAACAGUAGAUGAAAAACUCAUCAAUGACUGGAAUCUUCCUUGAAGGGCUUGGUGUUGGAAUCGCCUCUUGUCCAAUCCUCUGUGCUUUUCUCCAAUAAACAAUAUAUUGUGUUGAGGGGCAAACAGACUCCCAAAACACUUGAAACACUUCUUGAGAUGGAAACCGAGUGUAAUAUUUCAUGGUCUGAUCAGACACACAAAAUCUGUUGAGGACAGUUUGUGGCCCCAUGGACAUUUCUUGCAGCCUUGCCUCGAGCUCAGCAAUAUACUCCAGGGCAUCAUCCAGUGAACCU